GACGAACGCUGGCGGCGUGCUUAACACAUGCAAGUCGAACGGUGAAGCCUUUCGGGGUGGAUCAGUGGCGAACGGGUGAGUAACACGUGGGCAAUCUGCCCUGCACUCUGGGACAAGCCCUGGAGACGGGGUCUAAUACCGGAUAUGACUUCCUGCCGCAUGGUGGGGGGUGGAAAGCUCGGGCGGUGCAGGAUGAGCCCGCGGCCUAUCAGCUUGUUGGUGGGGUGAUGGCCUACCAAGGCGACGACGGGUAGCCGGCCUGAGAGGGCGACCGGCCACACUGGGACUGAGACACGGCCCAGACUCCUACGGGAGGCAGCAGUGGGGAAUAUUGCACAAUGGGCGGAAGCCUGAUGCAGCGACGCCGCGUGGGGGAUGACGGCCUUCGGGUUGUAAACCUCUUUCAGCAGGGAAGAAGCGUGAGUGACGGUACCUGCAGAAGAAGCACCGGCUAACUACGUGCCAGCAGCCGCCGUAA
rnacentral:rRNA from 1 species